rnacentral:rRNA from 1 species
UUCCGGUUGAUCCUGCCGGAGGCCAUUGCUAUCGGAGUCCGAUUUAGCCAUGCUAGUCGCACGGGUUUGGACCCGUGGCGAAUAGCUCCGUAACACGUGGCCAAACUACCCUGUGGACUGGAAUAACCUCGGGAAACUGAGGCUAAUGCCGGAUACCGCUCUCAGCCUGGAGUGGCGAGAGCACGAAAGGCUCUGGCGCCAUAGGAUGUGGCUGCGGCCGAUUAGGUAGACGGUGGGGUAACGGCCCACCGUGCCGAUAAUCGGUACGGGUUGUGAGAGCAAGAGCCCGGAGACGGAAUCUGAGACAAGAUUCCGGGCCCUACGGGGCGCAGCAGGCGCGAAACCUUUACACUGCACGACAGUGCGAUAAGGGGACUCCGAGUGCGAGGGCAUAUAGUCCUCGCUUUUGUACACCGUUAGUAAGGUGUACGAAUA